GACGAACGCUGGCGGCGUGCUUAACACAUGCAACUCGAACGGAAAGGCCCUGCUUUUGUGGGGUGCUCGAGUGGCGAACGGGGGAGUAACACGUGAGUAACCUUCCCUUGACUUUGGGAUAACUUCAGGAAACUGGGGCUAAUACCGGAUAGGAGCUCCUGCUGCAUGGUGGGGGUUGGAAAGUUUCGGCGGUUGGGGAUGGACUCGCGGCUUAUCAGCUUGUUGGUGGGGUAGUGGCUUACCAAGGCUUUGACGGGUAGCGGGCCUGAGAGGGUGACCGGCCACAUUGGGACUGAGAUACGGCCCAGACUCCUACGGGAGGCAGCAGUGGGGAAUAUUGCACAAUGGGCGGAAGCCUGAUGCAGCAACGCCGCGUGCUGGAUGACGGCCUUCGGGUUGUAAACCGCUUUCGCCUGUGACGAAGCGUGAGUGACGGUAAUGGGUAAAGAAGCACCGGCUAACUACGUG
rnacentral:rRNA from 1 species